rnacentral:rRNA from 1 species
AGAGUUUGAUCAUGGCUCAGAACGAACGCUGGCGGCGUGCCUAAGACAUGCAAGUCGUACGGAAAGGCCCCCUUCGGGGGGCACUCGAGUGGCGCACGGGUGAGUAACGCGUGGGUAAUCUGCCUUAGGGUCUAGGACAACCCCGGGAAACUGGGGCUAAUACUGGAUAAGACCACGAGCUCCUCGGAGCUUGCGGAAAAAGAUGGCCUCUCCUUGGAAGCUAUCGCCCUUCGAUGAGCCCGCGUCCCAUUAGCUAGUUGGUGAGGUGACGGCUCACCAAGGCUUUGAUGGGCAGCUGGUCUGAGAGGAUGAUCAGCCACACUGGAACUGAGACACGGUCCAGACUCCUACGGGAGGCAGCAGUCGGGAAUUUUGGGCAAUGGGCGAAAGCCUGACCCAGCAACGCCGCGUGAGGGAUGAAGGCCUUCGGGUCGUAAACCUCUGUCGGGAGGGAAGAACGGUUCACGUUCAAACAGGACGGGAGCCUGACGGUACCUCCAAAGAG